rnacentral:rRNA from 1 species
AGAGUUUGAUCAUGGCUCAGAACGAACGUUGGCGGCGUGGAUUAGGCAUGCAAGUCGAACGAAUCCCCAGGGGGGUAACCCUCUGGGGGGAAGUGGCGAAAGGGGCAGUAAUGCGUGGACAACCUGCCCCCGGGACGGGGAUAGCCUCCCUAACGGGAGGGUAAUACCCGGAGACCCGGCGGAGCGGCAUCGCUCUGCCGGCAAAGGAGUUUCGCCCGGGGAGGGGUUCACGUGCUAUUAGCUAGUUGGCGGGGUGACGGCCCACCAAGGCGAAGAUGGCUAGCGGGUGUGAGAGCACGACCCGCGCCACUGGCACUGAGACACUGGCCAGACUCCUACGGGAGGCUGCAGUCGAGGAUCUUCGGCAAUGGGCGCAAGCCUGACCGAGCGACGCCGCGUGCGCGAUGAAGGCCUUCGGGUUGUAAAGCGCUGUCGAGGGGGAGGAAAGCCCGCAAGGGCCUGACCUAUCCCUGGAGGAAGCACGGGCUAAGUUCGUGCCAGCAGCCGCGGUAAGACGAACCGUGCGAACGUUGUUCGGAAUCACUGGGCUUAAAGGGCGCGUAGGCGGGUCUUCAAGUCGGGGGUGAAAUCUUUCGGCCCAACCGGAAAAGGGCCUCCGAUACUGAAGACCUCGAGGGGGGUAGGGGUCGGCGGAACUUCCGGUGGAGCGGUGAAAUGCGUAGAUAUCGGAAGGAACGCCGGUGGCGAAAGCGGCCGACUGGACCCCUCCUGACGCUGAGGCGCGAAAGCCAGGGGAGCGAACGGGAUUAGAUACCCCCGUAGUCC